GUGUCAGCAGCCGCGGUAAAACGUAGGUGGCGAGCGUUAUCCGGAUUGACUGGGCGUAAAGGGUGUGCAGGCGGCUUGCCAAGUGGUGUAUGAAAUCGCCGGGCUCAACCGGGCGAGGCUAUGCCAGACUGGUCAGCUAGAGGGCGGGAGAGGGACGUGGAAUUCCGGGUGUAGUGGUGAAAUGCGUAGAGAUCCGGAGGAACCCCAGAGGCGAAGGCGGCGUCCUGGCCCGCCCCUGACGCUCAGACACGACAGCAUGGGGAGCGAACGGGAUUAGAUACCCCAGUAGUCC
rnacentral:rRNA from 1 species